UUUGGAGGUCUAUUUAAAUUCCAAUAAAGUUUGAGAAAAACAUGCUCUUCGAGUUGUUGUGGUCUUAGACAGAAUUAUUAUAUUUUUGUAUUUUUUUUUCCAGGUCUUGGGCUCCAUGUAGCACUAAUCAGGCCUUGACUAAAUCAAAAGUCAUUUGAAAGACGCUUCAGCAAUCAAACAGACCAGUUCCCAAGAAAAUGCCUAACAGCUUGAGACUCACCUUGGAUGCCGAGGUGACCUCAUGUACCCGGGUUACACCGUCUGACGUGUUGGUACCGACCGUCUUCCUGCUUCUCAUGAGAUCACAAACAGGAAUCUUCUCUUUGCUCGGAUGCUUCAAAGUAUUUAUUGUGUGUUUUUCUUUGUUAUCGGUCGUCUUUCUGUUUGUUCUCGACUUUUAAAAAGUGAUCAAAUGUUUUGUUGUGUCAUUUUAAAGAGGACGACCCUCUUUA